GAUGAAGAACGUAGCGAAAUGCGAUAAGUAAUGUGAAUUGCAGAAUUCAGUGAAUCAUCGAAUCUUUGAACGCACAUUGCGCCCCUUGGUAUUCCGAGGGGCAUGCCUGUUCGAGCGUCAUUAUAACCCCUCAAGCUCAGCUUGGUGUUGGGGCCUGCCGCACGGGCAGCCCUUAAAAUCAGUGGCGGUGCCAUCUGGCUCUAAGCGUAGUAAUUCUUCUCGCUAUAGAGUCUCGGUGGAUGCUUGCCAUUAACCCCCAAUUUUCUAUGGUUGACCUCGGAUCAGGUAGGGAUACCCGCUGAACUUAAGCAUAUCAAUAAGCGGAGGA
rnacentral:misc_RNA from 1 species